GACCCCUUCUUUACUCCAUGCAUUUGAAAUUGAACAGUAUAACAGCCUCAUAGUUUAAUGUUAGAAUAAAGUUGGUAUAUUAAGACUGAAUUAACUGCAGUUAGUUUAAUACACAAAAAAUGCUUGGGGAAUAUCAAUCUAGUGCAGCCCUGGGACCGCCGAACUGCAAACCCAUGACCCAAGAAGCACCAUUAAUCCAUGCUGUCCCUUAUGACUUUCGCAGGAGAAAUCUUGUAUGUGAGGCAGUUUGGACAAGUCUUCCACAAGGAUUUCAGAGAGAAUCUUGAGUUAUGUUUGGAAUGAUUGUUGUUAAGUCACACUUCAGAAUGAUAUACUGACAUCAUGAG
ensembl:lncRNA